rnacentral:lncRNA from 1 species
CCUUGAACUAUUCUCCUCUCGUGUUGACAUUGAUAUCACUUCUGAAAACAAUAAUUUAACUUCGAAAGAAAUCUGAAUUUAUUGACGGUAAAGUACUCAUAUUUAUACCGUACAUGUAUCUGUUUACUAACAACCUAGAUCACUAUCAAUGACUAAAUAAUUACUGUGAUUUAUACGAGAUAUUUGUUCUUAAUGUUCUCUUCAUUCAAUCGUUUUUCUUUUCUUUUCACUUUCAUUAAUCUAACUUUUGGUAAAUGUGAAGAAUUACGGCGUAAUUUCGAAGAUAUGAAGAAUGUAUAAAGCAUGACGUUUUACUUGAAACGAAAUGGAAACAUUGUUUACUACAGUCAAGAUAUUGCAGUGAUGACAAACAAGUCUAUAAUUUCUGAUACAGUUAUGCAUUAAUGCAUCUUAAAAUUAAUAUAUAUCUCCCUUCUAUCUAUCUAUCUAUCUAUCCGCUCAGUCGACGUCGACUCUCGGUUAUUCGAUGGAUCAGUGUCCUCCAGUCAGUUCUAUCCUGGGCCGCUUCUUUCAGACUGGCUACUUCCAUUCCGGUAUCACUCUUGAUGGUGUCAAGCCAGCGGGUUCUUGGUCGGCCUUUUCCUCUCUUGCCACUGACCAUUCCGAGCAUGAUGUCCUUCUCCAGGGAUUUUCUCCACAUUAUAUGACCGAAAUAUGCCAAUCUAUGCUUGGUGAUCCUAGCUUCUAGCGACAUUUUCGGCCUGAUCUGCUUAAGAACUUUUCUCCAUUGGUGAGCCUCGCUGUCCAUGGAAUCCGUAAAAGUCUUCUCCAACACCAAAGCUCGAAUGCAUUAAUUCUCUUCUGGUGAGCUUUCUUUAGUGUCCAGGUCUCGCAUCCAUAUGUUGCUGCCUUACUCUUUACUCUUUUACUUGUUUCAGUCAUUUGACUGCGGCCAUGCUGGAGCACCACCUUUUAGUCGAGCAAAUCGACCCCGGGACUUAUUCUUUGUAAGCCCAGUACUUAUUCUAUCGGUCUCUUUUGCCGAACCGCUAAGUGACGGGGAUGUAAACACACCAGCAUCGGUUGUCAAGCAAUGCUAGGGGGACAAACACAGACACACAUACAUAUAUUUAUACAUAUAUACGACGGGCUUCUUUUCAGUUUCCGUCUACCAAAUCCACUCACAAGGCAUUGGUCGGCCCGGGGCUAUAGCAGAAGACACUUGCCCAAGAUGCCACGCAGUGGGACUGAACCCGGAACCAUGUGGUUGGUUAGCAAGCUACUUACCACACCUAUAUUUAAAUAAUUACUUGUUACCUAAAUUGUUUUCUGUCUCCCGUAAUACACAUUCUUUUACAAUACAGUUAUUACUAACAAUUAAACGUUCGUCGUUACGUGGUAAAAUUGUUUUUUCCUGAUUUCUUUUCAAAAUGGAAACGAAAUAUGUUUAUUCUGAAGAGUAAAUAUUUUCAUUUCAAAAGCACGUGUAUUGCGAAGAUGUUAAAAUACGUUAAAGCAACUUACACGUUUUUGAUUUAUAAACAGAGUUAAAGGAAAUCGUAAGUGCAGAUUGAAUAAUUUGUAUGAUUUAGGAGAAAUAACGGAUAUUGUUAUGUCUGCAACGAUGUUCUGCUCAGUGAGACCUGACCUGGGGUUAAAGAAUAAUCGCCUGACAAUGAACUAUCUUGCUGGAUAAAAUUACAAAGUAACACCCGCACGAUUUUCACUAAGAAAAAACAUUUUUUUGCGUGGAAUCAAGUACCCUGAUCUCGUAAUAUGCUGUAAAUGCCAUAUUUUGGUUCGGAAUUAGUCCGGAAUGGGGGCAGCCCCUCUCCCCCGGAAUUUUCACAAAAAAAAACCUCUGAUUUUUUUGCGUGGAAUCAAGUACCCUGACCUCGUAAUAUGCUGCAAAUCCCAUAUUUUAGUUCGGAAUUGGUCCGGAAGGGGGGCAGCCCCUCUCCCCCGGAAUUUUCACUAAAUUCGUAUUUUUUGCGUGGAAUCAAGUACUCUGACCUCCUUACUGCAAAUCCCUUAUUUUGGUUCGUAAAAGGGGGUGGCGAAUUGGAUUUUUUUUUUUCGUUGAAUGAAUUCCUGUGACAUGCUAACAUAACCGAUCCCAACAAGGUAGAAAACCCUUUUUGCGGUUCGAAAAAUGGAGUGGGGUGAGCUGGAAGCCUCGGAAGUUUCACCCACUCACAAUAUUAUACAGAAAUAAAAUUUCCAGGGUGUGAAUUACAUGGUUCGUUAUUAAACAUAUAUAGAAAUUGUGUAUAUUUGGUGUAUAUAUAUAUAUACAUAUAUAUAAUAUCGUGUGUGUAGACAGGUAAAAUGUAGACAUAUAUAUAGAUAUAUAAUUAUUUCUUUUUUUUUAACACAAACCCCCGUUUUCGGUUACGGAGAAUACGAAUCUGCUAGGGUUUGAGGGUUAGGUUUAGGGGAUAGGGAAAAUGUCAAAAAGGAAUGGUGGUGGUGGAGGGCAAAUUUGAAAAUGCCGAUUUUUGGCAAAAACAAAAAUUAAAAUAAAAAAAUUGGGGAGGAAGUCUUUCCAAUAGCGUGCACGUGUAUACAGACAGGUAAAAAUUUACUUACCCUUUUGCUGUCAAAAAGAUGGAUCCAUUCUGAACAAAAUCCACUCUAAACUAGCUAGUUCAAUUGAGUGUUUUACGAAAAAAAAAAAAAAAACUCGUUCGCGCCCAGGUGGAGGCGGAGUGGGGAGACAGAUGAACGAUGUCUCAUUCUCUGCUAUAUAUAAUGAGCCAUUUCUUAAACAUACACGAUAUAGUCUAUAAAUUUGGGAUGUUUUUGAAAGAUAAUAUAUUUUAUCAUCAGAAUAUAUAUACAUUCUCACACUACAAUUAAGAUAUAUUUAUUUUAAAUCGUUCAUCUUUUUCCCCCCACCUCCAUACCCAAAAAUUAGUUUGGGCGCGGAAAAUUUUUGUUUAAAGCCCUAUGUCCACUAUUUUAUAGUUUUGCAUAAAUAAUGAUAGCGUUACUGUAGUCUGUGAUAUAUAGACCUCUCGUGAGGUUGUUUGAUGUAAUUUUAAUAACAAAUUUAAAGUUCAGAUGACGACGUAAAUGUUUAUAUUAAGUUUUUCAAUAUGAAAAUGUAACAAAUUUUCCAUCAUUGAAUCUACUUUUUAGUAUCCCUCCAUCUUAUACCGUUUCUCUAUUAUUUCAGAAAUAUCAGAUGACGUGGGCAUAAAAGUAUUGCUUACUUCAAAUGUGUGGUCGAUAUUUAUCAUCUUUUAAAAAGGAAGUUGUUCCACAGAAUGGAUAUCAUUCUGUUUCUAUAAAUUUGUGAUAAAGUGGAGAAUGUUUGUUGUGAUUUGAGAUCAUUUGCAAAAUUCUUCUACUUCUAUGCCUGGAAUAUCUUCAGGAGUUGGUUGUUUUGUAAUUAACCAUGGAGAAAUUUUCACAGGAGUUUGCAAUAUCUUCAGCCAUCAAUAAAGAUCACGUUUUAUGGAAUUAUAGCAGUAGAAAUAAUUGUAAAGAAAAUACAGGAGAAACGAAGUUGUCAAAGAGGAAUAAUUAUGGAAAAUGAAUUCUGUGAGGAGUCAAUUCAAAUUAAAACAGAAACUGAAAGCAUUGAUUAUCCUAAUGAGAUGCAGAAAGAGAGAGAAGGAACAUCAUAUACCUGUGAUAUCUGUAAAAAGUUAUUCACUCAUAAAAGC